UCUCCGUAGGUGAACCUGCGGAGGGAUCAUUACAGAGUUCGUGCCCUCGCGGGUAGAUCUCCCGCCCUGUGUUAUUGCUACCUUUGUUGCUUUGGCGGGCCGCCCUCGGCUACCGGCCCCGGCUGGGACGCGCCCGCCAGAGGACCCCAAACCGUGAACGGCAGUGUCGUCUGAGUACUAUACAAUAGUUAAAACUUUCAACAACGGAUCUCUUGGUUCUG
rnacentral:misc_RNA from 1 species